rnacentral:rRNA from 1 species
UACGAAGGGUGCAAGCGUUACUCGGAAUUACUGGGCGUAAAGCGUGCGUAGGUGGUUUGUUAAGUCUGAUGUGAAAGCCCCGGGCUCAACCUGGGAAUUGCAUUUGAGACUGCGUAGCUAGGGUGCGGAAGAGGGAAGCGGAAUUUCCGGUGUAGCGGUGUAAUGCGUAGAUAUCGGAAGGAACACCAGUGGCGAAAGCGGCUUCCUGGUCCAGCACCGACGUUCAGGCACGAAAGCGUGGGGAGCAAACAGG